GAACACGGACCAAGGAGUCUAGCAUGUACGCGAGUCAUUGGGACAUAACUAAACCUAAAGGCGCAAUGAAAGUAAAGGUCCGCCUUGCGCGGACUUAGGGAAGAUGGGCGGUCCUUGUGGCCGCUUCGCACUCCCGGGGCGUCUCGUUCUCAUUGCGAGAAGAGGCGCACCAAGAGCGUACACGCUGGGACCCGAAAGAUGGUGAACUAUGCCUGGUCAGGACGAAGUCAGGGGAAACCCUGAUGGAGGUCCGUAGCGAUUCUGACGUGCAAAUCGAUCGUCGGAACUGGGUAUAGGGGCGAAAGACUAAUCGAACCAUCUAGUAGCUGGUUCCCUCCGAAGUUUCCCUCAGGAUAGCUGGCGCUCGUUGCGCACGAGUCUCAUCCGGUAAAGCGAAUGAUUAGAGGCAUUGGGGUCGAAACGGCCUCAACCUAUUCUCAAACUUUAAAUGGGUGAGAUCUUCGGCUUGCUCGAACUAUUGAAGCCGUAAGACACGGAUCAGAGUGCCAAGUGGGCCAUUUUUGGUAAGCAGAACUGGCGCUGUGGGAUGAACCAAACGCCGAGUUAAAGCGCCUAAAUCGACGCUUAUGGGAUACCAUGAAAGGCGUUGGUAACUUAAGACAGCAGGACGGUGGCCAUGGAAGUCGGAAUCCG
rnacentral:rRNA from 1 species